GUCUUUCUCCAGCAGCGCUGAGGAGUACGACAUUCAGGAAAUGGCAAUGCGGCAGUAAGGAAGGAAUCUGUGCCCUUUAAUGACCUAGAGGAGUAGAUCCACUUCGCCACCUGGACCGGCCAGACUAAUGAUACAAAGCUGGAAUAAGAUGAAUGACCACUUCGUCUGACAGACCUGUUGCUGCACACAUCUGUACCCCUCGGUCAACAGAACCCGAUGCAAAGAACAGAAAAGGGAGAGAUGUGGGAGUUCAGACAGGCUGGUGGUGUGUCCAGAAUUUAUUCCUUCCGCAUCAUAAAUGUCCUUGUAAGAGGGGGAUCUGACACACAGAGAAGAGUAGAAGGCCAUGUGACCACAGAGGCAGAGAUUGGAGGAAUGCAGCCAUAAACCGAAGCUGGCAGCCACCAGAACUUGGAAGAGGCAAGAGAUCGAUUCU